CUUCAUCGAGCCCAGCCACAACGGGUGUUCCCGGUCCUGUCCGUAGGUGGCGAGGACGGCCUGGGCCUC
rnacentral:antisense_RNA from 1 species